CAAGUCGAGCGGUAGAUCUCUUCGGGGAUUGAGAGCGGCGCACGGGUGAGUAACGCGUACAUGACCUACCUCUAAGACUGGGAUAGCCCUGGGAAACUGGGAUUAAUACCGGAUGUGAUAAUAUGUAUAGAGAUGUAUUAUUAAAGAUGAGUCGCUUAGAGAUGGGUGUGCGUUUGAUUAGCUAGUUGGUAGGGUAACGGCCUACCAAGGCGACGAUCAAUAGGGGGCGUGAGAGCGUGGCCCCCCACACGGGUACUGAGACACGGACCCGACUCCUACGGGAGGCAGCAGUAAGGAAUAUUGGUCAAUGGACGGAAGUCUGAACCAGCCAUCCCGCGUGCAGGAUGACGGCCCUAUGGGUUGUAAACUGCUUUUAGCAGAGACGAAACGCCUUCAUUUAUGGGGGUCUGACGGUAUCUGCAGAAUAAGCACCGGCUAACUCCGUGCCAGCAGCCGCGGUAAUACGGAGGGUGCAAGCGUUAUCCGGAAUCACUGGGUUUAAAGGGUGCGUAGGCGGGGAAUUAAGUCAGUGGUGAAAGCCUGUCGCUUAACGAUAGAAUUGCCAUUGAUACUGAUUUUCUUGAAUUGGGUUGAGGUUAGCGGAAUGUGACAUGUAGCGGUGAAAUGCAUAGAUAUGUCAUGGAACACCAAUUGCGAAGGCAGCUAGCUGGGCCUUGAUUGACGCUGAGGCACGAAAGCGUGGGUAGCGAACAGGAUUAGAUACCCUGGUAGUCCACGCCCUAAACGAUGCUAACUCGAUGUUUGGGCAUAAGCUUGAGCAUCCAAGGGAAACCGAUAAGUUAGCCACCUGGGGAGUACGUCCGCAAGGAUGAAACUCAAAGGAAUUGACGG
rnacentral:rRNA from 1 species